GACGAACGCUGGCGGCGUGCCUAAUACAUGCAAGUAGAACGCACAGGAUGCACCGUAGUUUACUACACCGUAUUCUGUGAGUUGCGAACGGGUGAGUAACGCGUAGGUAACCUGCCUGGUAGCGGGGGAUAACUAUUGGAAACGAUAGCUAAUACCGCAUAAGAACAUUUACUGCAUGGUAGAUGUUUAAAAGGCGCAAAUGCAUCACUACCAGAUGGACCUGCGUUGUAUUAGCUAGUAGGUGAGGUAACGGCUCACCUAGGCGACGAUACAUAGCCGACCUGAGAGGGUGAUCGGCCACACUGGGACUGAGACACGGCCCAGACUCCUACGGGAGGCAGCAGUAGGGAAUUUUCGGCAAUGGGGGGAACCCUGACCGAGCAACGCCGCGUGAGUGAAGAAGGUUUUCGGAUCGUAAAGCUCUGUUGUUAAGGAAGAACGAGUGUGAGAAUGG
rnacentral:rRNA from 1 species